rnacentral:lncRNA from 1 species
UUUGUGGCAGGUACUCUCGACCUUGAGGCCAACACAAUUACUUGAUAUAGUGCCAGCAAAUUUUCAUAAUGUUGUGACAACCAUGUUUAGUAACAAUACUCCGACGCAGUUUCACAACGUGGCCUCUACCCAUGUUCAUGACUCUCGACUACCGCGUUAACUUGACUUUUAGUUUGUUUUAUAGACGCUUUUUGUUGUAGCAUUUGAUAUAGGCGUCUUACUCUAUCGUUCUUGUAUAUUAGAAGCAAUAGUUAAUUAAAAAAAAAGGUAAUGCUUAUUCAAUUCAAUUUUGUUUUCUUAUGUUUUGAUUUGAGUAUAAUUGUUAUGGGCAGUGGUAAGGCU